rnacentral:pre_miRNA from 1 species
AAUAAGUGCAGCCGUGGAUAUCCGUACCCAACGUUUGACCGUCCGUCUUAUUUGAAAAAUUUGUGAAAAAUUUGAAAAUAUUUAGUCACACAUAAAUUACUAUUCAUGUUUUAUCAUCUAAUAGCAAUAAAAAUACUAAUCAUAAAAAAUUUUCAAAUAAGACGAAUGGUCAAACGUUAAACGUGAAUAGUGCAAAACUACACUUAUU